CUGCAUUUAUGCCAACACUUAAAACAAGGUUAAUUAAAUAACUUAUUUUCUCCUUCUUUGUUUUAAAUCUUAGCACAAAAGAAUUUUAUUAAUAAGCAAAAAAGUACACGGUUAACUAGAAAAACCUAAAAAACUGUUGCCAAUGGCCUGAUUGAGUGGUUUUAAGUAGGUAUAUUUGGCUGAAACGAAUUUAAAUUUGUAAGGAAUAAAUAUGUAUUUCAACUUUACCUACUGCUAUACCUUAUUCUUGCUUCAAAAAAUAAAAAAUAAGACAAAUUAAGCACGAAAUUUUAAUUUGUUAAAUACUAAAUGGUGUUAAUUAAUUAAUUAAGUAAAUACAAGUUGGUUUAUGGAAGCCAAUAUCUGAUCCCUUCACACUAACUAAAAUACUAAAUUCAGUGCACAAAUUUAGAUAUAGGCAGAUAAAUAAGAUGCAUGUUAUUAUGGCUUACCUUGAACAUCAAAACUUUUUUUUUUUUAAUCCAAUCCCUCUUGGGAUAUAAACUCAUUAACGAAGAAAGAGCAUUAGAAAAAAUAAAAAGCUAUGAUGUCGAUUUCCAUUUAGUGUACAAUUCUUUACUUUUGAAGACAGGACAUACAAAAUAAUUAGAUUGAAUGUGUGUGUGAUUAUGAGAAGCAUUGAAAAUUGCAUAUAUUGAUAAUUUCUUAAUCCUAUUUUUAUAAUAUUCAAAGCCUUGUAGCCUAAACUAGUAAGAGUCUAGCUAGAUCUCGUAUCAAUACUUCCAGCUGGUCGAUGAAAUAAGAUCCACAAAGAUGGGACACGGGAGAAGGGAUAAAGCUUGCUUACCUUUAAUAUCAAUACUUCCAUUCAAUCUAUUAUCAGACAAUGAUAAGUGUCUGAGUGAUGAAAGACCACAUAGAAAUGAAAAGAUGCUGUUGUUGAAGUGGUUAAUGGCUAAAGAAAGAAACUUUAAGUUGUUCAACCUUGAUAACCUAUCUAGACCUGCCAAAAAAUAAAAAAAUAAUAAUUUUAUUGUAUCACGUACAAAUUAAACAAAAGCCAAAAUGGAUUAGAUAAAUGUAAGAAAUUACGAGGAAGAACUAAAAUAAAGUAAAUUAAGGACCUUCAUUUUCAACACAAUGGGCUAUAUUGUUCUCAAUUAGAUGAAGAGACUCUAAUUGUUGAAAGGGAGUAAACAGAGAAGCAUUCAUAUGCCACUCUGCUCAUUCCCGAUUCCUAGUGGCUCCUAGAUCUAAUUUAAUCACUCUGCCAGUGGUGUUGUUGCACUCAACCCCUUCCCACUGACAACAAUCUGAAUAAUUCUCAUCAUCUCCCGUGUCUACCCAGUUUUGAAGACAUUGAUCAUCAUUGAAGAAAUGUUUGAAUUGGAGGAGAGCAAACCUCUAGACUUUAAUGAUCACUUUGGAUGAGUCCUUGAAUAUUUACCAACGAAUUUCUUUAUUGAUUGCAACACCUUGCUUCCAUAUAUCACUGCAAUUUCCCUUCUCCCCCAAAUAAAAGGUAUUCAACUUCCUUAAACCUCUGUAAUCUAUUUGAGAUACAAUUUUGGAUUAAAUUAUUUUGGGUAAGUGUCAUUGGGCAUUCCCUAAUCAAAUCAAUUAAACUGUCCUCCAAAUUAUUAAUAUUUGAACAUUUUGUAUACCUUUAGGAACCACUAGAUUGUCGAUUGCAUUGUCGCUUAUGUCCAGCUCCUCCAAGUUACUCAAGGAUUCCAGUCCUGUAUUUAUUCCAACACUUAAAACAAAGUUAAUUAAAUAGCUUAUUUUCUCCUUUUCUUAUGCUAAAUCUCAACGAAAAGAAUUUUAUUAAUAAGAAAAGAAUAUGGCUAAUCCGAAAAAUUUAAAGCAGCUCUCAAAGGGCUCGACUGAGUGGCUUUAAGCAAGUAUAUUUAGCUGACAACCAUGAAUUUAAAUUUGUAAGGAAUUAAAAUUUAUUUUAGCUUUACCUACUGCUAUAUCUUUUUCUUUUUUCUUAAAAAAAUUAAAAUAUAUUAAACACGAUAUUUUAAUUUGUUAAAUACUAAAUUUAGUUAAUUAAUUAAUUAACUAAAUACAAGUUAGUCUAUGGAAGCCAAUAUCUGAUCCCUUCACAUUAACCAAAAUACUAAAUUCAGCGCACAAAUUUAGAUACAGGCAGACAAAUAACAUGCAUGUUAUUAUGGCCUACCUUGGACAUCAAAACUUUUUUUUUUUUUUAAUCCAAUCCCUCUUAGGAUAUAAACUCGUUAACGAAAAAAGAGCAUUAGAAAAAAUAAAAAGCUAUGAUGUCGAUUUCCAUUUAGUGUACAAUUCUUUACUUUUGAAGACAGGACAUACAAAAUAAUUAGAUUGAAUGUGUGUGUGAUUAUGAGAAGCAUUGAAAAUUGCAUAUAUUGAUAAUUUCUUAAACCUAUUUUUAUAAUAUUUAAAUCCUUGAAGCUUAAACUAGCAAGAGUUUAGCCAAAUCUUAUAUCAAUACUUCCAGCCGGUCAAUGAAAUAAGAUCCCCAAAAGAUGGGACACGGGAGAAGGGAUGAAGCUUACUUACCUUCAAUAUCAAUACUUCCAUUCAAUUCAUUAAUACCCAUGUGGUUAAUGGCUAAAGAAAGAAACUUUAAGUUGUUCAACCUUGAUAACCUAUCUAGACCUGCCAAAAAAUAAAAAAAUAAUAAUUUUAUUGUAUCACGUACAAAUUAAACAAAAGCCAAAAGGGAUUAGAUAAAUGUAAGAAAAUACGAAGGAGAAUUAAAAUAGAGUAAAUUAAGGACCUUCAUUUUGAACACAACCGGCUAUAUUGUUCCCCAUUAGAUCAAGAGACUUUAAUUGUUGAAAGGGAGUAAACAGAGAGGCAUUCAUAUACCACUCUGCUGAUUCCCAUUUUCGAAAUGCUAGAUCUAAUCUAAUCACUCUGCCAGUGGUGUUGUUGCACUCAACCCCUUCCCACUGACAACAAUCUGAAUAAUUCUCAUCAUCUCCGGUGUCAACCCAGUUUUGAAGACGGUGAUCAUCAUUGAAGAAAUGUUUGAGUUGGAGGAGAGCAGACCUCUCUUGCUCCAAACACCCCUCACUCCACCACCCUUUUACUACUAAUAAUAUGAAAAUUAACUCACUCACCCACACUCUUUUUGAACCACACAUUAUAUCUUCUUAAUUACAAUCACCUACACACACUCUUUUCUCUUCUGCAACAACGAGAGGAUAGUUCUACGCUAUUUAUAACCAAUUGCACUGAUGAUACUCCCAGCUUUUAAUUGACUUUGUCUAAGUCUUGCAUGCGUUUUUCUUCAUUUCUUUUUAUUUUUUCUGUUAAUAUAUAAUAUGAUUGUAAUAUAUUUUUAUUUAAUUCAGUCAACUGAAAAUAUUUCCUCUCCGUCCAUAAAUAUCUGCACAGCCUGGAUUCUGACGGAAUCUUGGGCAACGCGGGUACCCAAACUUCACUAGACAAGCUUAUGGGCUAGCUCAAAACUUGGAUUUUUAUGAAGAAUAUUAUAAAAUAUCUAUUAUUUUGUUCAUUUGGUCCACUUAUUAUCUAUUUUUAAAAUUUUAAACAUUUAAAACUCAUAUUUUUAAUUCCAAUUUCAUUAAAAUAAAAUUUGAAAAUAUAAAAUUAUAAAAUAAAUUAAAUAUAUAUAAUAUUAUAAAAUAUAAAUUCUAGGUUUUUUAAGUUUUGAUUAAAAAAGUCCGAGUGUUCAAAAAAACAUGCUUAGGCCAGAUCUGGGUAAUACCAUACCUAAGAACGGUCGGAGUUUUUUUCCAUCCCUACCAUCCUUACACACUAAUAAUUGGCUGAAUUUAAUCAAACUCUCGAUUUGCUUUCACAUUAUCUUGGGUUUGAAACUUCACAGGUACCUAUAUAUCCCUUGAAUGAGAGUAGAUUUUCACCUAAAUUUGAAUGCAAACAUGUGCGACACGUCCUGGUCUAGGGAGAAUGAAUAGGAUGUCUUCAUAGGGCCAUAACUUGAGUAAUUGGUAUUUGUCUUAGGCUCAUAAUAUAUCAUUAUGAAGUUCUCAAGGAAAAGUCACAUUUUCAAUGUGGAUUAGCAAAUCUUCGCCAAAUUUCUCUUGGACGCUUCUAUUUUUGUCUGAAGAUAUCUUUCUUAUUUUUUAGAUUCUUGUUGGAUUUUUAUCUAUUUUGGUCGAUAUUUGAUUUAAGCGUCAUUUUUUUAAUUUGUUUUGGCAAGUAAAAUUUUUAUUAUGACAUACCAAUUCAAAUUUAUUUAUUUUGAUAAAUUCAUGUAUUUUUAGGGUUUAGUAUAAAAGGCUGUUAAAAUCCUAGUUUUUAUUUGUACUCGUAAAACAUAUUUUUAGAUUAGGAGACCUGUGAUCACUACUCAAAUACUAAAAAACCCUAUAACUAAUUAAAUAAUAAGAAUACGGAAGUUAAAAAAAAAAGAUUUCUAAACCUGUCCUAGAUCACACGACCAGUGACUACAUAUGAUGUUAAGCCAAAAAAUUAAAAAUAAAUGCUAAUCAUACGGAACCUCUAGAUUUUACCGGUCACUUUGGAUGAGUUCUUGAAUAUUAAUCAACGAAUUUCUCUUCUCUAUUUAUUUAUUUCAAUAUAUUCCACACAUCACCCUGAUUACAAUUUUAUUUUAUUUUUAUUUUUUUCUUCCAAUUCAGUCAACAAGAAAAUAACGUGUAAUUUAACAAACCCUUUAUCAAGUCUCGGUCUUAUGAUGUUCCCUGUAAUAGCGAUUGUAUUUGUCAUAUCAACAUCAUUCGUUGUCACGAAGAAGAUGAAGAGUCUUCUUUCUUUCUUCGAAGUUCAUGAAAGGAAAUCAUAUUUUACACGUUAGUUGACUUUGAAUUGACCCCAAAUCGCGAAACAUUGGCCCUCAAUCCUCUCUCUUUCUCUCUAAUUAUUUAAUUCAGUCAACUGAAAAUAUUUCCACUCCGUCCAUAUGGGAUGUCAUAAACAUCUGCACAGCCUGGAUUCUGAUGAAACCUUGGGCAACGCGGGUACCCAGACUUCACUAGAUAAGCUUAUGGGCUAGCUCAAAACUUGGAUUUUUAUGAAGAAUAUUAUAAAAUAUCUAGUAUUCUGUUCAUUUGCUCCACUUAUUAUAUAUGUUUAAUAUUUAUCAAGUCUCGGUCUUAUGCUGUUCCCUGUAAUAACGCUUGUAUUUGUCAUAUCAACAUCAUUUGUUGUCGCGAAGAAGGUGAAGGGUCUUCUUUCUUUCUUGGAAGUUCAUGAAUUUUAUUUUAUAUUUAACUUUAAAAAACUAUUUAUAUUUAAGCAUAAAUUUUAUUUUUUUAACUUAAAAAAAUUGGGGAUAAUGAUUUGAUUAUAAUCUUUAGAAUUAGAUAGAACCUCCCUCAAGUCUCGGGUCCAAAAACUUAUUCUUGCAAUAACGUUAUGUAUUCGUCACGUUAACAUAAUUUUUCCAUGACUGUAGUCACAAUUCGGAAAGAGACGAGAGGCACUCUCUUUCAUGGAAAAUCAUGAACGCAUGAAAGCAAAUCAAACUGUUUUAGGGUGCGUGGAAUUUAGGCAUGCAAUGUCCGCUCAAGUUUUGAUAAUUAUACUCUUGAGUCAAGAAAUGACCCCUUUUCUUUCUUAUUUAUAUGACUAGUUAAAUAAAUUAUUUUACAAAAAAAAAACAACAGUGAAAAUUGAAAGCAAGAAAAAUUUAAGUAAACGACAAACUUAACUGAAAUGCCAGUAAUCAAAUGCAAAGAAGGCCUGCUUAGUCUUUGAUUAAAUUUAUAAUGAUUAUUAUUCCAUGUGCUUUUCAAGAGCUAUUGGAUCAAUUCAAAGUUACGGAAAAGGGAAUAUUGCUUUCAAUGAUCAGCCUAACAUAUUUUGCUUUCAACCUAAUAUAAUAUGUUAAGAGAACUCCUCUCGAGAGUAGAGCAAUGUUAUGAAUUCUAAUAGUUAAGUUCUAAUCGACGUCUGUCAAGAAUCUAUUAUAUAUUGAAUUUCAUGACUAGAAAAAUUCAUAUUCUAUUGCUCAAUAGAUGAUUUCUACACUAAUUGGGACCAAAUUAAGAGUUGAUCUUGAGGAUCCUAAACACUACUGUGUAAAGUAAUAUAUUGGGCAUUAGUAAGUCAGUUGGAGCGAGCGAAAAAUUCAACCCAUUUACAAACCAUCGGAUUUCUUUUCACAACACAAGCAUUCUUUGUGACAAAAUAUAGGAAGGAAACAGUAAACACUGCACUUUCAUAUGUCCUUUAUUAAUCAAACUACAAGAUUAUAUAUAGGCUUGAAGCUAACAUAGACUAGGAGUCUUAUCUUAGCAAAGUCCUUUAUUCUAGGGAUAAAAACAAAAAAUAAGUAGAUAGAACAUAUCAUGUAAAACAACCACCAGAUAAGGAUAACUCUAUUUUUUCAAAUUCUGCCACACUAUUAUUUGUGACCCUCUCCUCAUCAACUUCCUAUGUUGACAUGAUAAAUCAGGUAACUUAAAAAAGCAGCAAAUUGAUGUCAAAAAAAUCAUAAGAUAACAAUUAAUACAUAAUCACAUUCCAAAAAUAUGGACAAGACAGAUUUUUUCUGAAAAAAGGAUUUACGAAGUUUAAAUAUACGGAGUCUUAUCUAACAGUGACAUUACACAGAACUUUUCUUUAGAUAUUGACAAUUACAUUGAGGAUGAUUACUAUACUAAUUGGGACCAAAUUAAGAGUUGAUUGUUAGGAUCCCAAAUACUACUGUGCAAAGUAAUAUAUUGGGCAUAAGCAAGUCAUUGAAGCGAGCGAAAAAUUCAACCCAUUUACAAACCAUCAAAUUUCUUUUCACAACACAAGCAUUUUUGUCAUCGGCAAUUCAAACAACCAUUCCGUCCCUUUCUCUGCUCAAUACCUUCCUUAAAUUGUUCAUAAUCUUAACCUUUAAUUGAAAGUUGUUUCUUCUUAAUUGUUCAUAGCCUUAACCUCUAUUUAAGCACAUGUUUCUUAGUAAUUUCUUAUUUUAACGUGCUUUCAUCUUUUGAUAACCAGUUAGGGCAAUUUAAUAAUACUAUAACUUUCGAAAAUAACUAAGGUUAGUUGUGAUGUAAAAACAAUUAGUCAUGUGAAGAUAAAUUGUUAAGUUUUUAUUUAUUUUUUUUAUGCAAUACUAGAUAUUCCAACAUCUAAGUCCCAAUUUAGUCCCAACAAAUAUAACAUUUAUCAAGUGGUUAAAUAAUUUUACAAACUAUGAAAUCUAUUAUUUAAUAAAUGAGUGAUACAUACUAUUAAAAUUCAAAUAUUAAGAUUUCUAACAUCAUUAUUAGUAAAUCUUCUUCUCUGAAUUAAUUUUGGAAAACUAUUCCAUUUUUCUUUUUCAAAAGACGCAGUGGAGCAAUACAUUUUAUUAAUUUAAAGUAAUUUUGUUACAAAAAUACCAUAAAAGACCUAGAGAAAUAAUCCAUUAUUAGCAUUUUAUUCCUUCUCCAAAUAAGAUCUGUUUGGUAGUGAAGUGCUGUGACUUUUUGAGGUGUUGUGGUUUUUAACACGAAACGCAGAUUCUUUGUGUCGUUUUGAUGGAUUUGUUUGACCUCCAAAACGCGAAUUACAUCCGUCGUUUCAACACCAUUUGAUUUCGCUUCCCUGGUUACUCAACAUUUAGUCAAACGAGAGUGAAUUGUUACAAAUUGCUAAAAAUACUAAUAAAACUUAAUGUAAUAAUAAUAAUUACAAUAGCACAAAUGAAAACAAUAAAAUUAAUAAGUUUUAAUGAUGAUGAUGAAAUUAAUGACAAUAACAAUAAUUAAGAUUCGAAUUUGGAAUUUUUCCGAAUUCUCUGUCAUGUAGCGGUUUGAAUUAAUUGCAACCACUCUUUUGUACUUGUCAAUGGUCUUUUGGCCCAUUGUCACACCCCACACUCUCAAACUAGCGUGUAUGAGUUCUGAGUCCUAACUAUUGAAAUGACUUAAUUCUCGUUCCAGUUAAAUUGGAUAGAAGUAAACAUGUCUAGUUAAGAUUCUCGUUAGAUUGUUAUCUAUUUUUGUCAAUAUUUGAUUUAAGUGUCAUUUUUUUAAUUUGUUUAGGCAGGUAACACUUCUAUUAUUCCAUAAACAUUUAAAUUAAUUUACUUAUUUUGAUAAAUUCAUGUAUUUUUAGGGUUUAGUAUAAAAGGCUGUUAAAAUCCUAGUUUGUUAUUUGUACUCGUAAAAACAUAUUUUUAGAUUAGGAGCCAUGUGAUCAAUACUCAAAUACUGAAGAACCCUAUAACUAAUUAAAUAAUAAUAAGAAUACGGAAGUUAAAAUAAAAGGAAUUCUUAACCUGUCCUACAUCACACGAUAAGUGACUACAUAUGAUGUUAGCCAAAAAAUUAAAAAUAAAUGCUAAUCACACUGAACCUCUAGACUUGGACGAUCACUUUGGAUGAGUUCUUGAGUAUUGAUCAACGAAUUAAAACUCAUGGACAACGAAAAAAUUUCAUAAGACAAAGAAAGAACACGUUGCUUUUAACAAUCUUUCGCAACCAGAGACAUUGAUAAGGUGGAAUAUACAAUAUUGGUGCAUUAAAUUACUAAUAGCACUCAACUACUAACCUUUUUACAACGACACGGUAAAAGACCACCGCAAAGGUUAUAUUUUCCGGCGUUUGUUUUACUAUGGGACAAUUCGUACUCUAGAAAAUAAUCAGAAUCUAAUAAAAUUUAUUUUACGCUGAUAAAUUAUUCGUUAUGCAAUUUACCGUUAUAAACAAGUAGACUUAAUAGAUUUAAUAUCUUUUUACGUAUGUUCUUUGCUCAAAAAAGAAAAUCUGAUUCUAUCUCCCUUAUUUUUUUUCUUUUUAUUUUUUCUAAAAUUUUCUCCUCCUCGACUUCACAGGUAAAUAUUUAUGCUAACAAACUGUUAAUUAAAAAAAAAAAGACAAACAAAUAGAUAAUUGGGUUGCUGUUUAUCUUAAAAGGACAAAUGUCAAGAAUGUCCAAAGUAUUAUUUAUAUUUAAGCAUAAAUUUUAUUUUAUUUAAUUUUAAAAAAUUGGGGAUAAUGAUUUGGUUACAAUCUUUAGAAUUAGACAGAACCUCCCUCAAGUCUCGGCUCCCAAAACUUAUUCUUGUAUGUAAUAACGUUAUGUAUUUGUCACGUUAACAUAAUUUUUCCAUAAAUGCAGUCACUGUCCGGAAAAAGACGAGAGGCACUCUCUUUCAUUGAAAAUCAUGAACGCGUGAAAGCAAAUCAAACCGUUUUAGGGUGCGUGGAAGUUAGGCAUGCAAUGUCCGCUCAAGUUUAAUAUUUGUAAUUGACUUUGAGUCAACAAAUGCCCCCUUUUCUCUCUUAUUUCUAUGAUUAGUUAAAUAAAUUAUUUUAUAUAAAAAAAAACAAACAAGCAUUCAUAAAGUAAUAUAUUGGGACCAAAUUAAGAGUUGAUUGUUAGGAAUUAGGAUCCCAAAUACUACUGUGCAAAGUAAUAUAUUGGGCAUAAGCAAGUCAUUGAAGCGAGCGAAAAAUUCAACCCAUUUACAAACCAUCAAAUUUCUUUUCACAACACAAGCAUUUUUGUCAUCGGCAAUUCAAACAACCAUUCCGUCCCUUUCUCUGCUCAAUACCUUCCUUAAAUUGUUCAUAAUCUUAACCUUUGAUUUAAGUUGUUUCUUCUUAAUUGUUCGUAGCCUUAACAUUUGUUUAAGCACAUGUUUCCUAGUAAUUUCUUAUUUUAACAUGCUUUCAUCUUUUGAUAAACCUGCUGUACCGUACAUCCGCCUUGGCCGUACAGCAGCUUUUGAAGACAGGACAUACAAAAUAAUUAGAUNNNNNNNNNNNNNNNNNNNNNNNNNNNNNNNNNNNNNNNNNNNNNNNNNNNNNNNNNNNNNNNNNNNNNNNNNNNNNNNNNNNNNNNNNNNNNNNNNNNNNNNNNNNNNNNNNNNNNNNNNNNNNNNNNNNNNNNNNNNNNNNNNNCGUGUGUAGCGGUUUGAAUUAAUUGUGCAAACUAUUUUUCAACCAAAGAACAAAAAAGGGACCUCGAUUUGGUUGCAAUAACGUGUGUAGCGGUUUGAAUUAAUUGUGCAAACUAUUUUUCAACCAAAGAACAAAAAAGGGACCUCGAUUUGGUUGCAAUAACGUGUGUAGCGGUUUGAAUUAAUUGUGCAAACUAUUUUUCAACCAAAGAACAAAAAAGGGACCUCGAUUUGGUUGCAAUAACGUGUGUAGCGGUUUGAAUUAAUUGUGCAAACUAUUUUUCAACCAAAGAACAAAAAAGGGACCUCGAUUUGGUUGCAAUAGCGUGUGUAGCGGUUUGAAUUAAUUGUGCAAACUAUUUUUCAACCAAAGAACAAAAAAGGGACCUCGAUUUGGUUGCAAUAACGUGUGUAGCGGUUUGAAUUAAUUGUGCAAACUACUUUUCAAUGAAAUAAAAAAAAAAAAUGGGCCCUCAAUUUGGUUGCAAUACCGUGUGUAGCGGUUUGAAUUAAUUGCAACCACUCUUUUGUACUUGUCAAUGGUCUCUUGGCCCAUUGUCACGCCCCACACUCUCAAACUAGCGUGUAUGAGUUCUGAGUCCUGACUAUUGAAAGGGACUUAAUUCUCAUUCCAAUUAAAUUGGAUUGAAGUAAAAAUGUCUCUUCAUUAAUAGAGGAAAAGAAUAUAUAUCUUUCUUUGAUAUUAUAUGAGAAUAGGAAUUUGGGCUGUACUAGUUUAGAAUUAUUAAAGAUAGUCAGAUAAAAUUCUAAUUGUAAAUAUUAAUAGAAUCAUGAUUGUAAUAUAUCAAUGUAACAACAAAAAAAAAACUCAUAGUCCUUAUGAUUACCUGUUUCCAUAAGCCACUAAUAUCUCACCGUUGCUUUCAUUUACAAAUAAUCUAACGGCCGUUUAAGAUACAAAGUUUGUAGCCCUCAUUCUCUAUUUCUUACUUUUGUUGUUUUUCCUUUUUGAAAAAAAAAUUAAAAUUAUGUUAUAACCAUUUCGUAAAUUAUUGUUUUAUUUUUCAAAAUUACAUUGCAAUCUAUUUAUAAAAUCAGGUAUCACCCUACUUUUAGUUUUAAUGCAAGUUUUCUUUAUUAUUAAAAAAGAUACAGCAUAAAAUUAGUUCUAAGCUUUUCGUCAAAGGUAUUCUCUCUCUGUGAGUGUUUCUAUUAUGUCAUCUUUCUUCUUUAUUUUGCAAACAAAAUAUUAUGUAAUGCAUCAUGUUAAAGGAACUGAUUCUGUGGAAUAUAAACUUUGAUUAGGGAAGUUUAAAACCCGAUUUUAUAUGUUCAAAUUGAUCAGUCGAAUCCAAAUGGGGGGAUCUGAUAUUUUGGGUUGUGGUGGAACUGACGGAGCCACAUAUUUGGAUACUGACCUAGAGAUUUCUUUGAAUAAUUUUAUAGUGUUGCUCAAGUGAUAUUGCGUGAGGCUUGCGGGUGAAUCAAACACAUCAGCUCUAAACGGCAGCGUUUUGGCAUUAUAAGAUAAGAGCACUUAAAAGUCACGGGCUGAAGCACGUGUGUAAUCACUUGUUUCUUAAGAUUGAAACGGCAGUUCUUCUUUGUCGUUUAAGGGAAAGCUUUAAGUGAUGCACGUGAUAGCCGUGUGAGAAAACUUGAUUCAGUUUGUUAAGUUCGUUACUCAACGUGUCAACAAGCUGUGCAAUCUGGAUUUAGCUGAUUCGUUGCUCUUGUAGUUCAGUUUGUGAGCUGAGCGUGUGUGUAACCGUGUUAAGAGAGAGAGAUAUCAGAGAAUGUGAAAGAUGAGUUCUCUGUAAUCUUAAGUAAAAGCCCUGUAAAAGAUCCUCCAUUGUUAUUCAAUAAAAGCUCUCCAGAAAGCAUCUCCCGUGGAUGUAGGUUGUGCCUCCUUGGUGCAACCGAACCAUGUAAUUGAUUCUGGUGUUGUCAGUGUUUGUUUAUAUUAUUUUCAGUUCUCUUAAUUCUUGUGUUAAAUUGAUUCUUUCUGGAUUAGUUCUUCAAUCUGUGCAACUUGGUAAAUCUGUAUCUAAGAUCCUGGGAAGUGAUUGUGUCUUGCAUCGUUAAGAGCAGAUUCAUUCACUACAUAUUGUUUCAUUUUUUCCAAAAUCAAAACCACGUUGAUUUGAUUUUGAACUUUUUCUGGUGAAUAGUUUCUUCACCUUGCAGCCUUAUCAGGUCGUUUAUUAUUUCAUUCUUCACCGCAUAGUGAGACCAUCCAGUGAUUUAAUCAUGCAGCUAGUGAAUGUGAGCUUCUGUAGAUGCAUCAGUAGGUUUUUGCUUGUAUUUAGGCCCUCUACUCUCAUAGGGAAAGGCAAUUGCAUUGUACACACUAAUUUGGUUGCUCGGAAUUGAUGUUUUUCUUCAUUAUCUAGAUCCAUCUGUUUGCCCUGUUUCGGACUAUAAGUUAGAUAUUAAAAAAUAACAGAGUCCUACAAUAAAAUAGUCUAUUACAAAUAUACAUCAUGAAGAGAAAGGCAAAGUAAAAAUUAAAAAGAAAAAAUACAUAUAGAAACUACUUUGAGAAAUACCUCCAUGAAAAUCCUAUUGUGGAUGACACUUGCAUCUCAUGAACCCCCAUUUAAACAGCUCUGAAAUGCAAAUGUCAAGUGAAAAUGAACAAAAUUAUUACAAAUAAGCAGUCCAUAAGACGAGAAUAAAACAAUAUAUUCUGAAAAAAAAUUAUAUAAUAUCAUGAAUGAAGAAAUUAUAAAGACAAAGUGUGUCUUUUUUCGUUACAUAGCAUUUUGCAGUAAAUCUAACAAUGAAAAGGCUUCUCUAAUACUCUUCAUUUCUCUCUACACAAAUUCUUUAUAUUCGCUCUCCUUCAUCCUUAAUUUCUUGGUUCAUGAACAACAAAAAACAGUUAUAAUACCACCCCAAAUGAUCAAAUUAAACAAAAACUAAGAAGAGUUUACAAGCUUUCCAAAUAUGAUUCUUUCUUUAUAAAUGCAGAAACAAUUAUAAUACCACAUUAAUUAACCAAAUCAUCAAAACAAAGACCAACAAGAGUUUGCAUUCGAAAGAUGAUAUCUUUCUUUAUCAACUUGAAACAGUUGUAAUACCACAUUAACAAAAUAUCUAAAUCGUCUGCUGUACGGCCUUAAUUCAAUUAUUUUCGACAUAAAAAAAUUUACUUACCCUGAUUAACUACUGUUCCCUUAAAAUUAGUAAACAAAAGGUAAAGCGUUUUGAGGGAUGGUAGUGAUCCUAUUGAUUGCAACACCUUGCUUCCAUCUAUCAUUGGAAUUCCGCUUCCCCCUAAACGAAGGGUAUUCAACUUCCUCAAACCUCUGAAAUCUGUUUGGGAUACAAUUUCGGAUUAAAUUAUUUUGGGUAAGUGUCAUUUGGGCAUUCCCUAAUCAAAUCUAUUAAAUUGUACUCCAAAUUAUUAAUAUUUGAACAUUUUGUAUAUCUUUAGGAACCACAAGAUUGUCGAUUGCAUUGGCGCUCAUGUCUAGCUCCUCCAAGUUGCUCAAGAAAUCCAGUCCUGUAUUUAUGCCAACACUUCUACCAGGGUUAAUUAAAUAACUUAUUUUCUCCUUCUUUAUUUUUAAAUCUCGGCGCAAAAUAAUUUAAUUAAUAAGCAAAAAAUACAGCUAACCAGAAAAACCUAAAAAACAGUUGCCAAGGGCCUGAUUGAGUGGUUUUAAGUAGGUAUAUUUGGCUGACAACGGCGAAUUUAAAUUUGUAAGGAA
rnacentral:lncRNA from 1 species